UACGUAGGUGGCAAGCGUUGUCCGGAAUUAUUGGGCGUAAAGCGCGCGCAGGCGGUCCUUUAAGUCUGAUGUGAAAGCCCACGGCUCAACCGUGGAGGGUCAUUGGAAACUGGGGGACUUGAGUACAGAAGAGAAGAGUGGAAUUCCACGUGUAGCGGUGAAAUGCGUAGAUAUCAAGUGGAACACCAGUGGCGAAGGCGAGUCCCUGGACGAUUUCUGACACUGAGGCACGAAAGCUAGGGGAGCAAACAGG
rnacentral:rRNA from 1 species